rnacentral:lncRNA from 13 species
GUAAGCAUCACUGUGUGACUCAGUUCUGGCCAAUUAUAUAGGAAGAAAGUCUGGGAUGAAGAAAGUCUUUUCUUUGUUAAUGAAAAGGAGAAUGCCUCUACAAGAAAAGAUCUUUUUCAAUACCACUCUGCUGCCCUCUUCGUACCUUGAUGUUGUUUGGAGCUACAGCACCCAUUCCAAGAUAAUGAGCUCCAUGCAAAUGGAAAAACAGAGCUCUUCAUUAGGGCUUUGUCCUUCUUCGAGAAACUACCCAAGAUUUUCUUCAGGUGCUCCACAAAACAAUUUGGCUAAUUGGGAAAAAAAAAUACUUGAGAGUCACCAAGUUCUCUGAUUUCCCUGGCAAGAUAUCCAAGUGGUCCCUUUGAAUGGAUCUGCUAUGACAGGUAAGUCUGUAUCCCUCAAGACUUUCCAUUUCAUAAUUGAAUUUUUUUAAAAAAUCUUUCUUAUGAUUAUUUAUUCUCACAAAAGAUAUAUAUCAGUUUCAUACUAUGAACCUUGGAAAUAAGGCCAUGUUUAGGCAACAAGACCCCAUCCUCUGAUGGAGCUCAGACUAGAAGGAAGACAUACAUUAACUAUUAAUUAAGAAGACUAUUAAUUAAAAGACAAUUAACAAUGACAUGUAAUGAAGGCAUCAGGAAGAUGAAACUGGCACUGUGUAUUGAAUAUAGGGGUCAGAAAACCACCUCCCUGAAGAAAGGAAAUUAAGACACCUCAGAAGGAUACUGAGUGGAGAUGGGGCUGGAGAGCGUACCAUGCUUUCCAGGUAUGUGCUAUAGAUCAUCGGAAUAACAGAGCUAGACAUUUGCUUUCUGUCUUUCAUGCUUUCAUUCAAGUUUUGCCUCUAGAUUUACAUAAACUGAAGACAAGUCUCCCCUCACAGAAGACUAUUAAUGUUUGUAGCUAUGGUUCCUUCGUGUUUCUUUAGAAAACAAUGAUUUAAAAAUUAAAGCUACCAUUUAUUAAAUGUUCACAUUGUGUCAAGCCCAUUGAAAUGAAAACAAACGUUUUCAUUUUAUCAGCUUUUGAGAAAAACUGGAGUUCAGAAGUUUUACUGAUUUAGGCAAUGGCUGAGCUAGGAAUCAAGGCCAGAUCUGAGACAUUCGAGUGUCUGAUUUUAACUACUUUACUGGGGUUUUCUUCAUGUUUGCAUCUAUAAAUCACUUCAUCAAAAGGGGGGGGGGGGGGGGGGGAAGGGGGG